AACCAAAUAAUCUCAUGGUGGAGUUACUGCCUUUUCAUCAUCCUGUGCUCUUUCCCCAUAUUUACAGGAUGUGCUUGUAGAUGAGAGAUGAGCCCGAGUCGUGGAACAAAAAAGCCUGCGUUAAUUACAGGCAAGAAUUCUAAUUUGCAGUGGGCAGUAGCAUCAUGAGCACCACACUUGCAUCUAAAUUAAUACUUGUUUCACAGCUAUGACAAGUGCAAAGGUCACAAGCGUAGCAGGAGGAGCCUUUUUGUUCUCAUCCUCCCAGAUGUGGGCUCAAGUACAUUAGCUACACCGUGUUUGUUACAGAAAGUAAUUCCUUCUCACAGUGAACUUUCUACUGUAAACCAUAUGUAAGGUGCCUGGACCCACCUUUUAGGAGUUUCUGUAAAGUCUAAACAGAAGGUCUAAGAAAGCUGCCUAAGAGGGGUAUGACUGAAGUUUGGCAGAACGAACCUCUGUCCUGACAGUGGUGUAGGCUCACUUGGCUGCCAAAUGCUGACUCUGACAUCGUUUGAAAUUCUGAGGUGAGAUGUAUUACUGUCUGGAAGCCAGAGAGCAAAACCUGAAGUCAUCCAUUAAAUUAGGAAAUUCAGUCAGAAAAAAAAGGGCACUAUAAAAGGGGAAUGGCACAUUGCUCUUAAAUCAUUCCAUCUGCUCACAACUUGUCUCAUUUCAUUUCCUAACGCAUCAUUUCAAGUGUCUGCUUUUGCACUCUGUCUUUCCCUUUUGUCACAGCCUGUGUGAAUGACUGUGUUCGUGUUCACAGCUGCCACAUCCAUGAACAGGCUGACCAGAGAAGUUGUGGAUGUCCCAUCCCUGCCACUGUUCAAGGCAAGGGUGAACAGGGCUUUAAGCGAUCUGGUCUAGUGGAAGGUG